UCAGAAAAGCAUUGAAUGUUGCAGCUUCCUGGAAUAACAAAGUCGAGUUUUUCCUGUCUGAUGGUGGCGUAUUCUGGGCUUUUGUGUCAUUCUAUUUGGAGAAAAUGGGUCAACUCUCUUUGUCUUAUGUGAGCAGUGAGACAGAAGGAAUAUGGAGCUGACCCCUUAAUCAGAUGAAGUCUUUCGGCAAAUCCUUCUUGAUACUGGUGGAGGUUGCUGAAGGCACUCGUCCUUGAAGUGCUUCAUGCAAACAAAGAGUGACCCAUACGUUGAACCACAGAAGCAGAGUGAAGGUGAAUAUAGCCCAUGCUGACCUUCUCCUACUUGUGGGUGUGACCGCAGGUGCUGCAGCGCAGCUGUUGCUCAUCAGCGAGCAAUCAACCUCAUCCAGAAGGAGGCGUCAGCUCUUUGUCUUACAAAGUGUGGUAAACAGCUCGACCUCUGCUGCAGACAUCGGCCGGGUGAGACUACGUCGAAGAAGAACGGUUUUGGUGCGGCGCGGGAAAAACAAAAAUAGAAAUAUAUCGGAUUCGGAAAAGGUGGAUUUGGGCAUAAACUGGUAUGUGAAUGGUUCGGUUGGAAAUGGAGACAGGAAAUGAGGAAGACAUGGAUUUUGAAGGGUGGACGCCAGCUGGGAGAGGAAGAGGGAAAGGACGUGGAAGAAAUAAAAUAGAUGAAGGAAAGGGAAUUGGUGAUAUCCAAGGUAGCAAGCGAGAAUUGGAAGGAAGCAGUUCAGAAGAAGAAAGGAUAGUUAGGAGAAAAGUUAUGAGGGAGGAAUUUAAAAUAAUAUUAAAACUUAAGAACGAGGAAGAACAGGAUAACAUCAGCCCCAUUGUGGUGUCAAGAGAGAUUAAAAAGAAAAUUGGAGAUGUUGAAAUGGUAAAGAUUUUGAGAGAUGGAAACUUAUUGGUAGUUUGUAAAAAUGAAGAACAAAAGAACAAGGCUUUAAAGGUGGAUAAUAUCUGCAAGAAAACGGUGUUGGAGAAAAAAAUCAUGGGAGAAAAUAAAAAAAUUAGAGGAGUGAUUUAUGGUAUCCCUCUAGAUGAAGAUCUUGAUAAAAUUAAGAGAAGUAUUAUUGGUGCAAAAGUGAAUAACUUGAAGAGAUUGUCAAAAACAAUAAAUGGAGAAAAAGUAGGAAGUAUGUCAAUCUUCAUUGAAUUUGACGAAAAAGAGUUGCCACAAAACAUCAAAAUAGGUUAUCUCAGCUUUCAGGUUAGACCUUAUAUCCCUCCGCCACUUCGUUGUUUCAAAUGUCAAAGGUAUGGACACAUAGCAGCAGUUUGUAAAGGGAAGCAGAGAUGUCCAAAAUGUGGUGAAGAUCACAAGUUUGAAGAAUGUAAAGAAGAAGUACAAGGAAAAAUGUUGUAACUGUGGAGGGCAACAUAGAGUUACGUAUGGAGGAUGUGAAGUAAGGAAGAAGGCAAAAGAAAUCAUACAGAUUAAAAUGACUAAAAACAUAAGCUAUGCAGAAGCAGUUAAAAAUGUGAAGGAACAGAAAACAAGAAAGAUUGAACAAAUAGCGAAUCAAAUUCCACAGCAAAGCAAAGUACAGUCAGAAGAAAAUGUUACAAUAUCAGUAGAAAAACUAAUAUUAUUCGUAGCCUAUGUUAUCAACUGUACUGACCAAGCCAAGCAUAAAACUGAGAAGAUUAAAAUAAUAGUGAGAGGAGCUGAAAAGUUUUUGGGGUUUAAGGAGGGAUCGUGGGAGAACAUAAAUAAAAAGUUGGAGGUAGAUGGGAGACAAGGAACAUCUGGUGAAAGUAGUGCAUGUUAAUAUUACAAUGGAAGGCAAGAAGUUUAAUUGCUAACGGACAAGAACUUAAAGGUUAUAUUGAUAGUCUUGAAGAACAACCAGAAAUGAUUUGUGUUCAGGAAACAUGGUUGAAAACAACAUUGGAUUUUGUGAUAAAAGGAUAUGAUGGUGUAAGAAGAGAUCGACAGGAGAGAAGUGGAGGAGGAUGUGGAAUAUUUAUUAAGCAAGAGAUACAAUAUCAGGUAUUAGGAAAAGGGAAAGAACUUGAAUAUAUAGUAAUUGAGAUAUGGGAACAAGAAGAUAAAUUUAAAAUAAUACAUUUUUAUAAUCCAUGUAAAACAUUGUCAAUUGAAAUAAUGGAGGAGUUAAAUGAAUAUUUGGAAGGGAAAGUAAUUUGGUGUGGAGAUUUUAAUGCAAAUAGUACAU